UUUAAUGGUUUUGAUCAUUUAACCAAUCCGUGUUGCUAGGCCCAUCAUCCUGGAAAAGUCUUCUUCUCAUAACAUCCCUUCAUUCUAGCUUCCAAAAUUGUUUUGUUUCAGGGGACAUAUGGCUUGUAUCCAUCGCCAUGGUUUCCCGAUCCGUCUUGUCCAUCUCUUUUUUAAGCAAAUACUACCUUUCUUGUGCAUAUUCUGCUCGCAUUGCCAUCUCGUUCUCUUGGCGUUUCUGCUCCAUUUCAACUCUUAUGGCGUUCUGCCUUGCAAUUUCCUCCAAAAGUUUUG
rnacentral:lncRNA from 1 species